UGGGGGAAACCCUGAUCCAGCCAUGCCGCGUGUGUGAAGAAGGCCUUUUGGUUGUAAAGCACUUUAAGCAGUGAAGAAGACUCUUCGGUUAAUACCCGGAGACGAUGACAUUAGCUGCAGAAUAAGCACCGGCUAACUCUGUGCCAGCAGCCGCGGUAAUACAGAGGGUGCAAGCGUUAAUCGGAAUUACUGGGCGUAAAGCGAGCGUAGGUGGCUUGAUAAGUCAGAUGUGAAAUCCCCGGGCUUAACCUGGGAACUGCAUCUGAUACUGUCAGGCUAGAGUAGGUGAGAGGAAGGUAGAAUUCCAGGUGUAGCGGUGAAAUGCGUAGAGAUCUGGAGGAAUACCGAUGGCGAAGGCAGCCUUCUGGCAUCAUACUGACACUGAGGCUCGAAAGCGUGGGUAGCAAACAGGAUUAGAUACCCUGGUAGUCCACGCCGUAAACGAUGUCUACUAGUCGUUGGGUCCCUUGAGGACUUAGUGACGCAGCUAACGCAAUAAGUAGACCGCCUGGGA
rnacentral:rRNA from 1 species